GAUCAUGGCUCAGGAUGAACGCUAGCUACAGGCUUAACACAUGCAAGUCGAGGGGAAACGACAUCGAAAGCUUGCUUUGGUGGGCGUCGACCGGCGCACGGGUGAGUAACGCGUAUCCAACCUGCCCACCACUUGGGGAUAACCUUGCGAAAGUAAGACUAAUACCCAAUGAUAUCCCACGAAGGCAUCCGAAUGGGAUUAAAGAUUUAUCGGUGAUGGAUGGGGAUGCGUCUGAUUAGCUUGUUGGCGGGGUAACGGCCCACCAAGGCAACGAUCAGUAGGGGUUCGUGAGAGGAAGGUCCCCCACAUUGGAACUGAGACACGGUCCAAACUCCUACGGGAGGCAGCAGUGAGGAAUAUUGGUCAAUGGGCGAGAGCCUGAACCAGCCAAGUAGCGUGCAGGAUGACGGCCCUAUGGGUUGUAAACUGCUUUUAUAAGGGAAUAAAGUGGGUCUCGUGAGACUUUUUGCAUGUACCUUAUGAAUAAGGACCGGCUAAUUCCGUG
rnacentral:rRNA from 1 species